rnacentral:rRNA from 1 species
AGAGACAGCAGCAGCCGCGGUAAUACGUAGGUCCCGAGCGUUGUCCGGAUUUAUUGGGUGUAAAGCGAGCGCAGGCGGUUAGAUAAGUCUGAAGUUAAAGGCUGUGGCUUAACCAUAGUACGCUUUGGAAACUGUUUAACUUGAGUGCAAGAGGGGAGAGUGGGAUUCCAUGUGUAGCGGUGAAAUGCGUAGAUAUAUGGAGGAACACCGGUGGCGAAAGCGGCUCUCUGGCUUGUAACUGACGCUGAGGCUCGAAAGCGUGGGGAGCAAACAGGAUUAGAUACCCCCGUAGUCCCUGUCUCUUAUACA